rnacentral:ncRNA from 12 species
GCCAUCACCCUGAACUGUCGCAAUCCAAUGCGCGCGUUCUCUUUAUUGAGAUAGGGGUGGUGGUUUUU